GAGAGCAUAGUACAACGGAGAGUUGUAUGCUGUGUUUAGGAAGGAUGAAUCUCUCUCGAAAAGGAAUUUAUUGAUUCUAUCCCAAUUGGGUGGACUGUAGGUGUGGUGAUUUACUUCAU
rfam:Gossypium arboreum cultivar AKA8401 contig_114718_1, whole genome shotgun sequence.